rnacentral:piRNA from 1 species
UAAAUGAGAUCUUGUCUCUAAAAAAUAAA